rnacentral:rRNA from 1 species
GAUCAUGGCUCAGGAUGAACGCUAGCGACAGGCUUAACACAUGCAAGUCGAGGGGCAGCAUGAGGUAGCAAUACCUUGAUGGCGACCGGCGCACGGGUGAGUAACGCGUAUCCAACCUGCCCAUCACUUGGGAAUAACCUUGCGAAAGUAAGACUAAUGCCCAAUGACAUCCCACGAAGGCAUCCGAAUGGGAUUAAAGAUUUAUCGGUGAUGGAUGGGGAUGCGU